rnacentral:rRNA from 1 species
UUUCUUUGCUGGCGACCGGCGCACGGGUGAGUAACACGUAUCCAACCUGCCCUUUACUCGGGGAUAGCCUUUCGAAAGAAAGAUUAAUACCCGAUGGCAUAGUUCUUCCGCAUGGUAGAACUAUUAAAGAAUUUCGGUCAUCGAUGGGGAUGCGUUCCAUUAGGUUGUUGGCGGGGUAACGGCCCACCAAGCCUUCGAUGGAUAGGGGUUCUGAGAGGAAGGUCCCCCACAUUGGAACUGAGACACGGUCCAA